UUUCUAUUCAUCAAAGAAUAUUAAAAAAAGUAUCAUGGUUUAAACAAAAAAUAUUAACUCUUUCCCUGCCAAACAAUUUUCGGGGUAUCCGUGUUUUGGUGGUAUACGGUAAGGAAGGCCCUUGCGCAUGUUCUGAAAGAGUGCGGGACUUUUGGAUCACAGAAACAAGCGUAGACAGCGAUCGGCACAAACUGGAAGGAGUAGCAAGAAUGUAGGUCAAAAUAUCAGAUAGAAAAACACAGAGGUAUACCGCUGAUGUGUUAAUGGACUCGGAGUCCGAUCACUCAUUAUUUGAUCAUUCUGAAUCUGAUCGGGACGAAAUAGUCAAUGAGGGAGAUGCACAUGCUGUCACAGAAAGUUCUAGUCACAGACGUGCUGCAGAUAGAUCUCUAACCCGUCAAUCUGGACGAAGACAAAGUCCACCUGUGUGUCUAAGAGUGGACCGUGACAAUUCAAACUGUGACACUUCGGACAGUGAGUGGAUGCGUUCAAGCCCAAGGUCUCAUUCACCGUUCCCAGGUGCCAGAGCAGAUAGAGGUAGAACACAGCGAGGCAGAGGUCGGAUGCGGCAAGUACAUCAACAUGGUGCUGCUGGUGACCAAACAAGGGCCACUGUGAACCAUCCAGCUGAAGAUGCUGAACCUGGCGAUCCUGAGUGGCAUGAAAUGAACUGGCAGCCAAAAAACCUUCCCUUCACUGAGAAUCCUGGGCCUGUCGGCGAUGCUGCUGCUCUUGAGUCAGAACAACCUGUAGAUUUUGAGUUGUUAAUUUCUGAUGUACUGAUUCAGAACAUUGUUGAUCAGACCUACCUGUAUGCAGAUCAGUGUAUUCAAGCUAUGGAUGAUACUUCACAACAUGCUAGAAGUCAUGCAUUGAAGCCUGUUAAAGUUUCAGAAAUGAAAACCUUCCUGGGGCACUUUUUUUCUCACUGGUAUCAUUCAUAAGCCUGAACUUGUACUGGUCUGCAUAUGACAUGUUAGCUACCCCCUACUUCAACAAGGUCAUGCCUCGCAACAGGUUUGAAAUCAUGGAGAUUUCUUCACUUCAGUGAAAUACAGCAAGGCCCAGUCUUGUAUCACCUUGUCCAAAUUCUGCGAAAUGUAUCAGCCCAACUUAAACAUUUGCAUAGAUGAGGGGAUGCUUCUGUGGCAUGGGCGCCUAGCUUUCAGGGUGUACAAUCCCCAGAAACCCGUCAAAUAUGGAAUAAAAUCCUACAUCUUGUGCGAUUCCGAUACAGGAUACUGUUUUUACAUGAAGCCCUAUUGUGGAGAAAGCGCUGCACUGGAAGACACAGUUGUCUCUUUUCUUGAUCGCCUAGUAGGUCAUGGCUACAGAUUGUUUAUGGAUAACUUUUACAACUCUGUACCACUGUGUGAGCGCCUACUUGAUAUGAAAACCCAUGUCUGUGGUACAAUUAGGAAAAACAGGUGAACCACCG
rnacentral:lncRNA from 1 species